UCUCUCUCUAACUGCUUUUUCCAGUGGUUGAUCGCGAAUUCGCACAUCUCUGCAUCCAUGGCUAUGAUGACUCCUCCGUCUUGGAAUGAUUGUUUGGCGAUUUUCCUUCUUUUUUCGAAUUGAGCUUCAGUUACGCCAAUCUAUCCAGCCUGACGAUUUCUUAGGGUUUUUGAUUGGGUUGAUCGGGUUUCGGUUGGGAUGAAGCUGACUGCUGCUUUUGACGCUGAUUGCUCUGCGUUGUUACAGCAAGAGGACGAGAUAUGCUGGUUCCGCAUGCUUCGACCCUUGAUUAGCACCGACUUUGUCCUAUUACUCUGUUUUAGCUUUUGCCUGUAAAGGACAAUCGCAAGACUGGACCCAUACAUGGAGGCCUUAGGUUCAAGUCUUUGAAAUCGUAUUCAACAGAGAGUUUCAGUUUCUAAUGUCCACAUUUGAUAAUUUCGCGAUCAAGAAGUAGCAAAUAUAUACUCAUUUGCCUUUCCCGAAGCAUAUCUUAUAGUAGCAUAAAUCCAUUAUGAUUUGAAU